rnacentral:rRNA from 1 species
CCUACGGGCGGCAGCAGUAGGGAAUUUUCGUCAAUGGGCGCAAGCCUGAACGAGCAAUGCCGCGUGAACGAGGAAGGUCUUCGGAUCGUUAAGUUCUGUUGAAGGGGAAAAAGAGCGGAGAGAGGAAAUGCUUUCUGAUUGAUAUUACCCUUCGAGGAAGUCACGGCUAACUACGUGCCAGCAGCCGCGGUAAUACGUAGGUGGCGAGCGUUAUCCGGAAUGAUUGGGCGUAAAGGGUGCGUAGGCGGCCUGCUAAGUCUGGAGGGAAAGGUACCGGCUCAACCGGUACAGGCUCUGGAAACUGGCGGGCUAGAGAGCAGGAGAGGGCGGUGGAACGCGAUGUGUAGCGGUAAAAUGCGUAGAUAUAUGGAAGAACACCAGUGGCGAAGGCGGCCGCCUGGCCUGUUACUGACGCUGAGGCACGAAAGCGUGGGGAGCGAAUAGGAUUAGAUACCCGAGUAGUC